UCCUCCCUCAAACCCCGGGUUUGGUGUUGGACCCAAGUUGUGUGAACAACUGGUCUCAAAGACAAUGACGGCGUCCGUGGGACCCUCGGUGCAACGAGCUUUUAGGAGCACGCAUCGAGUUGCAAGGACCUUCCGGGCCGGUCUCCUUUACCAUUUUACAA
rnacentral:misc_RNA from 1 species